CUGAGAGGAUGACCAGCCACACUGGAACUGAGACACGGUCCAGACUCCUACGGGAGGCAGCAGUGGGGAAUAUUGCACAAUGGGCGCAAGCCUGAUGCAGCCAUGCCGCGUGUAUGAAGAAGGCCUUCGGGUUGUAAAGUACUUUCAGCGGGGAGGAAGGGAGUAAAGUUAAUACCUUUGCUCAUUGACGUUACCCGCAGAAGAAGCACCGGCUAACUCCGUGCCAGCAGCCGCGGUAAUACGGAGGGUGCAAGCGUUAAUCGGAAUUACUGGGCGUAAAGCGCACGCAGGCGGUUUGUUAAGUCAGAUGUGAAAUCCCCGGGCUCAACCUGGGAACUGCAUCUGAUACUGGCAAG
rnacentral:rRNA from 1 species